rnacentral:misc_RNA from 1 species
AGCGACCUCGUCGCCAGGCGCUAGCGAAAAGACACGUUUGGAUCUUAGUUGAGCUCGUUCGUUCCGAGUUGAGACUCGCUCUGCGCACACGAAAACAGGAGAGAGAAAAGGCGGAAGGAAAGUCAGCGAGAGCGCGGUGGCACACAAGUGUACACCUUAGAUUAUUGGUGGUGUUUGGUGUACUGCAGGAAAACGAACGAGAGAAGACGGAGUCUGUGCUAAGGAGGGUGGAAGACUGGAGGUGUGGUCCAUAUUUUCAAAAGUGAGUUCGGAGUCCCGACUGUCCCGAGACGUACCUAACUAUACACACGCACCCCCGCUGUCCCAGCUUCCAAAUAGCAGAGUGUAGAGCGAGAGGAGACUGCAGAGGGGGAGAGAGAGAGCCGUCAUAUCAGCGAAACAAAAUCUGAAAAGGCGGAGGAGGUGGGAUUCAAAGCAGAGGGGCAGGCAGUAGCACCAGCAGUCCAGCAGAGCAGUAGAGCGGGACUUCUUGCUUUAACGGGACUGUACACAUACGCCAAGUACUCUUCGCGCGUGGGUGGUAAAAGUUAGAGGUGCGUGUGCGUGUUGCGGAGCAGCAGCAACAACCAGCAGCCAGGAUGUCGGACAACAAUCCGGAGACCUCCGCCGACCGCAACGUCGAGAUCUGGAAGAUCAAGAAGCUCAUCAAGAGCUUGGAGAUGGCCAGGGGGAAUGGUACAAGUAUGAUUUCACUAAUCAUUCCGCCAAAAGAUCAAAUCUCCAGAGUCAGUAAAAUGUUGGCUGAUGAAUUUGGUACAGCAUCAAAUAUCAAGUCUCGAGUGAACAGACUAUCCGUCCUUGGUGCCAUCACAUCAGUACAACACAGACUAAAAUUAUAUACCAAAGUACCUCCAAAUGGCCUGGUUAUUUACUGUGGUACAAUUGUUACUGAAGAAGGGAAAGAAAAGAAAGUUAACAUUGAUUUUGAGCCAUUUAAACCUAUUAACACUUCACUUUAUCUCUGUGACAAUAAGUUUCACACCGAAGCGUUGACGGCGUUGCUGGCAGACGACAACAAAUUUGGUUUUAUUGUUAUGGAUGGUAAUGGUGCGCUUUUUGGUACUCUACAAGGAAACACACGAGAAGUUCUGCACAAAUUCACAGUUGAUUUACCGAAAAAACAUGGUAGAGGAGGUCAGUCCGCUCUUCGUUUUGCUCGAUUGCGAAUGGAAAAACGUCACAAUUACGUACGGAAAGUAGCUGAAGUGGCGACGCAGCUCUUUAUAUCCAAUGACAAACCUAACAUUGCUGGUUUGAUACUUGCUGGUAGUGCCGAUUUCAAAACGGAGCUUAGUCAAUCGGACAUGUUUGAUCCCAGAUUGCAAACUAAAGUUAUAAAACUAGUCGAUGUUUCGUAUGGUGGUGAAAAUGGAUUCAAUCAAGCAAUCGAAUUAGCUGCCGAAUCGCUGCAAAAUGUCAAGUUCAUCCAAGAAAAGAAACUUAUUGGCCGUUACUUUGAUGAGAUUUCUCAAGACACGGGAAAGUACUGUUUUGGCGUUGAAGAUACCCUGAGAGCUCUUGAAUUAGGUAGUGUAGAAACCUUAAUUUGUUGGGAGAAUCUCGACAUCCAGAGAUACGUGUUAAAGAAUCAUACGAGUAGUGAAGAAAAAGUCUUACAUCUAACGCCGGAACAGGAAAAAGACAAGUCACACUUCACAGACAAAGAGAGCGGGGUUGAGUUAGAAUUGGUGGAGUGUCAACCACUACUUGAGUGGCUUGCAAAUAACUACAAGAGUUUCGGUGCGACAUUAGAAAUUAUUACGGACAAGUCUCAAGAAGGAUCGCAAUUCGUUAGAGGCUUUGGGGGUAUUGGAGGAAUCCUCCGCUACAAAGUCGACUUCCAGUCAUUACAGGCUGAUGAGCCUCUCGAUGACGUCGACCUCGAUGAUUAUUAAAAAACUCACGUCUCUGUCGCUUGGUCAGAGCCGUGUUCAGCUUGCUAACUGGAAAAGGUAACUAAAAAUGUAUUUUACGGUACAAGGUGGACUUUCAGAGCAUGCAGUUGGAAGAGGCUGAGUUCGACAGCUUUGACUACGAUGAUUAUUAAAUUUA